rnacentral:misc_RNA from 1 species
CAACCCUCAAGCACUGCUUGGUGUUGGGGCACCGCCUGUAAAAGGGCGGGCCCUGAAAUCUAGUGGCGAGCUCGCCAGGACCCCGAGCGUAGUAAUUAUAUUUCGUUCUGGAAGGCCCUGGCGGUGCCCUGCCGUUAAACCCCCAACUUCUGAAA